rnacentral:rRNA from 1 species
GCGGGGAUAAAUACAUAAGACGAGAAGACCCUAUGGAGCUUUAGACACUAAAGCAGAUCACCAUCAACACCCUCGACAACAGGGCACAAAUUAACUGAACCCUGCCCUAAUGUCUUUGGUUGGGGCGACCGCGGAGAAAUAAAAAACCCCCGCAAGGACCGAAUGUAUAACAUUCACAACCAAGAGCGACAGCUCUAGUUAACAGAACUUCUGACCAAUAAGAUCCGGCAAUGCCGAUCAAUGAACCGAGUUACCCUAGGGAUAACAGCGCAAUCUCCUCUUAGAGUCCAUAUCGACGAGGAGGUUUACGACCUCGAUGUUGGAUCAGGACAUCCUAAUGGUGCAGCCGCUAUUAAGGGUUCGUUUGUUCAACGAUUAAAGUCCUACGUGAUCUGA